AAGAAUAAAGAAAAUGUAUAGAUAUAUAAUAUAUAUAUAUACGAGAGGAAUUAUUAACUGUUUUACUAAAGCUACAUCUGGCGAAUCUCGCGGAGUUCGCGACUGAAAUAGUUCAAUUAUAAUUAACGAUAGAAACACAGCGAUUUCUAUUUCGAAAUAUCAUCUUUGUUAAACUACGUGCUCGUAUUUGUUGGCAAAGUUUGAGUGAACAUUCGCAUGCUUUUUCCGGGCAACUAGAGCUCAGAGUGGCGACGAGUUCGGAUACGUUUCCGGUAUUCGGAGUUCGUUAAAGUUACGACAGGUCCAGAUGCGUUAAACGUUGACGAUCAACGACCAAGUCAUUGCCUCCUUCGAGACCACGACGUCCUCUUCUCUCGUUCUCCUGUCGUUCAUCAAUUCAAUCAGCCUGAGCAUACGUUCUGAAGGAAAAAAUGUGUUCGUCGAAAUCGC
rnacentral:misc_RNA from 1 species